rnacentral:pre_miRNA from 1 species
UGAAAUGUUUUGACCAGAACUUCAGAUAAUUAUUUCAGAUUUACACCUCAUUUGUCUUAUGUAAGCACCAUUUCACUUAUACUAAAGAUAAAAGAAUUAACCUAGAGGUUUUUGUCCAACCAUUUA